CUGUCUCCUGAAUGUACAUGUAAAUGAAUUUUGAACAGAUGUGAUGUUAUAAUGUGGCAGCUGAUUCCAGUCCCUGGUUUUUGUACCAGUAGACCUACUUGUAGGGAAUGGUUUGUAGCGGGACCUUUAAAAUUAGCACUGUUCCUUUAAUGUGCUUUAUAUAUCCAUGAGUUCAAAGGUCACACUUUGCCCUGCUCUUUUGUACCUGCAUCACACACGUGAAGUUGUUAGUACAUGCUCAGAUUCUGUAGAUUGUUCGCCAUUCAUAUCGGAUGAUUACAGGCUAUGGUCAUCACUCUUGUUAAGUACCAGUUUUUAUGAUUCUGUAUCUUGAGCACUGCAAUCAUUAGACUUCAAAAUGAGGUCGAACUAGGCUUUUCUGUGCUUGAAUCACUUUUUAAGGGGCAUUGCCAAGGUUUCAGCAAAGAAAUCCAGUCAUACCACUGUUUGCUUUGGACUACUGUGUCAAUGUUUGAAGGAUACCAGCCAUUCCUCUCUCAGUCUUCAAGCUGCUGCAGGUCUGUUUGAAGGAUCUCACAGUCUGCUGCUGUCCUGCUGAUAUAAUAGGACAAGACAAUCAUCCACGAACGGACAUACAUGUACUUGGGAUUUAAUCCCAUCAGGGACAUCUUUAAUGUACAGGAGAAACAGGAGAGGUCCAAGAACGAUGCCCUGAGAUACUCCAGACAAUACCUCAACAGGAGUUGAAGAUGCGCCUUGAAGAACAACAGUUUGAUGCUUCCCAGUGAUCAAAUAUCAAAGAUAUGGAAAUGCCUUGUUGACAGAUGUAAUGUACUGCAAUGGAUGCCCAUGCCGAGGCUGGCUAACUUAUCCCACGUCAUGGAGUGAGUAGACUGACCAGGGAUGAAAUCUUCAAUUCUGCAAAUGCAUGCUAGCUAUGUCAUGAAUGGUAGCAGGUGAAUGCACCGGUACUGCUGAGGCUCGCUAACAUAUCCCGCAUUCUGGUGUGACUGGAAUGACCAGCGAUGACAUCUCUGAUGUUGAAAACGCAGGCCUUACAUCAUGAAUGGUAGACGACCUCAUAUGAAAGCUGUGCAUAUGGCCUAGGAGAACCAGACAAUGGUGCUGAUGAGAAGAGCACCCUCGCCUCCUACAACAAGGAGAGAAACAAGAUGGAGGGCAAGAUACAUUCAAACCCUGUUAAUAAGAACAUUGUAAAUACAACAUUUUGCUUUUAACAAGGAAAAUUUUAGGUCCCAAUCAUUCUUCAUUGUUUUCUUUCCUGAUAGUACAAGGUUCAUGUUAUAACAAGUUAAUCUGCUAACUCUGAAGGGCCUCGUAUUAACGAGGUUCAACUGCACUCCCCCUCACCCCACAGAUUUACGCCCCUGCCACCCUAUGAUGGAGCAAUUCUAUAUGUGUUUGUAUAUUAGUGGGAAAAAGUUCCAUACACAGCCAUCACUUGACACCCUAUAUACAAACCCUAUGAGGCAGGGCCAGGAAAUUCUAAGCAGUAAAACUCUUCAUUGUUUUCCCUGCUAAAUUUGAAUUUUUAGGACCGUACUGCUUCCCAAUUGUCACAUUUACAAACAUGUUCCAUUGCAGGCAGAAAUUAGCGAUGUAUCAGUGUAUGGAAACUCUUUCCACAGUACUUUCAUCCAAAUUCAUUACUGAAAAGGAUAUUUUCCUGUUUAACGUAACUUGGUCAUAUUGCAUUUCAACAACCAUUCUCUCUCAUAUUUGCGCAAAUUUCUUGCUUUAAAUUCACUUUCUGGGAGUCAGGUUUGCAUAGCAGCUUUUUCCUUGUCUUCCACCUCAGCGGCCCAGGUUCGAAUCCCACCAAGGCCCACAACCUCCCAAUAAGUGCUGAAUGUUCAUUGGAUGACUAAAAAUAAAAGAAUAACGGUAACUUUAUUUAUUCAUUGUACAAUUUGUACAUGUAAACUCUAUGGGAUGAUUUUCAAUGGGCCGUCAUUAUCAGCUGAUGGCACUGUAGUGAUGUGUACAUGCAUUACUUUUUUCACCCAUCUUGGGGGGGGGGAAUAAUGUGAAGUUUUUAAAGGUGGGAAGAAAACUCCAGGUAAAUAAUCAUAGAGAAACCCAAGGAAUCAAGUAGGGGCCAAAACUCAAUCCACACGUCGGUUUGGGCAAGAUUUGAUUGUGGAUCGCAGAGGUGGAACACUGAGGUGGAGGGCAAGGAAAGUAUCAUUGUGCCAACCUGUCUCCCCAAAAUAAAGUCAUAACAUUAUCACGAUGCUACACAUGUACAUGUAUGAUACUUCAAAAACUGUAAUUUGUCCUGUCGGUGCUAAAUGGUCCUUACUGAAAAAUUGCAUUUAAUGGUCCUUACCGAAAAAUACUAUUUUAAACCUGAAAUUAAGCAAGAAAAUUUCCUAAUAUUUAAAUAUGUUGGUCCAAAAAAAAAGUUUAAUAAAAGUAAAACAAAUGUUUUGUGUUUUUCAAUGCAUUUCCUUCAUGCUCAGAGUAAGACCCUGAAAGUAUUUUCACAAAUUUUAUUUUUGCUGCAUUGACCUUUUAGCACUGACCUGACAAAUUGUACCAUAAAAUAGUUACCGUUUGGAAAAACUACAGUCUAGGGCACGAGGAAAGUUUAUAACUAUAUUGCAUGCUUUUAAGAAGUGAACAGUGUAUUGCAAUUUCAUAUCUCCCCCUUUCCCAUUUAGGCAAUAAGCAUGUACCUGUACCGUACCCAUCAACCCUGCUUAGCCAAAACAGUGGCUGUUCAAAACCUCACUGUAACAGGUUUAUCAUCCCCUGGAAAUGGUUCUAUGUGCCUUUGUAUUUUCCUGGUGUCUUUUAAUUAUUAGCCUUUCCAAUUUUAAUUAUCACAAAAGUUUUAAAUCAGAAUUUACAAAUUUUAGCUUGCUGUGAAAAUACAUGUAGGCCUUUUUCUGGGUAUAUUUAUCAAAAUUACUAUGUAUCAGAACCACUUCUAUUAUACAAGGGCCUUUUAUGAAAUAAAUGUUUAAACUAACAGAA
rnacentral:lncRNA from 1 species